UCCAUCGUGAGGUGGAGUCUGAAGGAAGCCUGAUGCAAAAUCUCGGUCU
rfam:Natranaerobius trueperi strain DSM 18760 ZB100047, whole genome shotgun sequence.